ACUUAUUUAAAGAUGAUGAAGCAGUGACCAACAAAAUAUAUUUACUUUUGGCACAGGGUUACGUCUUGACUACGUGGUUGGUGGUGGAAGGUUUUUGACAUAAUUGAUGGGUUAAAUUUUGGUGAUUUUAUUAUGUCUUAUCUUUUACUUGUCAAUGAUCACAACAUGUAAGGAACAAUAAUGCUUGUAACAGUGAUGCUCUCUCUUUCUGUCUUUUCUUCCCUUUCUCUUUCAUAGAAAUUUAAAAGGUUAUUUGUUACGUCAGUCUUUUUUCACUCCAACAAAAGGCCUUUUACUAUCUAAAUCCUCUAUAAUUUUAUAUAGUUUAACGAAAGUAUGUGUGCAUAUGACAACCUGUCAAGAAGAUAUAGAGAAC
rnacentral:lncRNA from 1 species